rnacentral:rRNA from 1 species
CAGUCGUACCGGCGGAUAAUCAGCCUUUCGGGUGCGAUUCUGUGGGGCGUGAGGAGCUUAACCGUCUUCAUGUUUUGCAUAUUCGUGCUCUUGGUGUACUUGCUCGUGUGGUUGGUUAACAUCAAUUUCGGACGCCAUAAAAUGGCUGGAGGAAUGUAGCUUUGAUCUCGUAUCGAAGUGUUAUAGCCUCUGGUAGAUGUGACGAUUGGGAUUGAGGAUUGCAACGGAUACCCUUCGGGGUUACCCGUCUGAUCUCUG